AUUGAACGCUGGCGGCAGGCCUAACACAUGCAAGUCGAACGGUAACAGGAAGAAGCUUGCUUCUUUGCUGACGAGUGGCGGACGGGUGAGUAAUGUCUGGGAAACUGCCUGAUGGAGGGGGAUAACUACUGGAAACGGUAGCUAAUACCGCAUAACGUCGCAAGACCAAAGAGGGGGACCUUCGGGCCUCUUGCCAUCGGAUGUGCCCAGAUGGGAUUAGCUAGUAGGUGGGGUAACGGCUCACCUAGGCGACGAUCCCUAGCUGGUCUGAGAGGAUGACCAGCCACACUGGAACUGAGACACGGUCCAGACUCCUACGGGAGGCAGCAGUGGGGAAUAUUGCACAAAGGGCGCAAGCCUGAUGCAGCCAUGCCGCGUGUAUGAAGAAGGCCUUCGGGUUGUAAAGUACUUUCAGCGGGGAGGAAGGGAGUAAAGUUAAUACCUUUGCUCAUUGACGUUACCCGCAGGAGAAGCACCGGCUAACUCCGUG
rnacentral:rRNA from 1 species